AGCCAGUCAUGUAGGCAAAUCCGCAUGGCGCGCAUGGCGAGGUGUGAUGAUGGGAGCCGUUAUGGCUCGAUAUCCGGUUGUCCAGGCCGUCGAGAAAAGCCUCGGCGUGAGGGCCAUGGCCGCCCGUACCCCAAACCGACACUGGUGGUCAGGUAGAGAAUACCAAGGCGAUCGAGCGAAUCCUGGUCAAGGAACUCGGCAAAUCACUCCCGUGCCUUCGGUAUAAGGGAGACCCGCUGGGGUGAACCGGCUAGCCCGGGGAGCUUUGGUGGGUGGCACAGACCAGGGGGUAGCGGCUGUUUACCAAAAACACAGGUGCAUGCGAAGGCGAAAGCCGCUGUAUAUGCACUGACGCCUGCCCGGUGCCGGAAGGUUAAGAGGAUCCGUCAAUCCCUUCGGGAUGAAGCGGUGAAUUCAAACCCCGGUAAACGGCGGUGGUAACAAUAACCAUCCUAAGGUAGCGAAAUUCCUUGUCGGGUAAGUUCCGACCUGCACGAAUGGCGUAACGACUUCCCCACUGUCUCGACCAGGAGCUCGGCGAAAUUGCAGUACGAGUAAAGAUGCUCGUUAAGCGCAGAAGGACGAAAAGACCCCGGGACCUUUACUAUACCUUGGUAUUGGCGUUAGGCGCGGAUUGUGUAGCAUAGGCGGGAGGCUUCGAAGCGUGGGCGCCAGCUCAUGUGGAGCCGCAAGGUGAAAUACCGCUCUGUUCUCGUUUGACGUCUAACCUCGACAAGUCAUCCUUGUCAGGGACAGUGCCUGGCGGGUAGUUCAACUGGGGCGGUUGCCUCCCAAAGAGUAACGGAGGCGCUCAAAGGUCCGCUCAGCCCGGUUGGCAAUCGGGUGUCGAGUGUAAUCGCACAAGCGGGCUUGACUGCGAGGACGACGGUCCGAGCAGGGACGAAAGUCGGAGAUAGUGAUCCGGUGCCGGCGCACGGGCGCGGCAUCGCUCAACGGAUAAAAGGUACCCCGGGGAUAACAGGCUGAUCAUUCCCAAGAGUCCAUAUCGACGGGAUGGUUUGGCACCUCGAUGUCGGCUCGUCGCAUCCUGGGGCUGGAGCAGGUCCCAAGGGUUCGGCUGUUCGCCGAUUAAAGCGGCACGCGAGCUGGGUUCAGAACGUCGUGAGACAGUUUGGUCUCUAUCCUCUGCGCUCGUUGGAAUCCUGAGGAGGCCUGCCCAUAGUACGAGAGGACCUGGGUGGACGAACCUCUGGUAUGCCGGUUGUCGCGCCAGCGGCACGGCCGGUUGGCUACGUUCGGGAGGGAUAACCGCUGAAAGUAUCUAAGCGGGAAGCCUGCUCCAAGAUUAGGAUUCCAUGGAUCUUCGAGAUCCUGUAGCCCGCAUGUUGAACACGUGUUUGAUAGGCCGGAGGUGGAAGUCCCGUGAGGGGUGGAGCCGACCGGUACUAACGGGCGACGGC
rnacentral:rRNA from 1 species